GACGAACGCUGGCGGCGUGCCUAAUACAUGCAAGUUGAGCGCUGAAGGUUGGUACUUGUACCAACUGGAUGAGCAGCGCACGGGUGAGUCACGCGUGUGGAAUCUGCCUUUCAGCGGGGGACAACAUUUGGAAACGAAUGCUAAUACCGCAUAAAAACUUUAAACACAAUUUUUAAGUUUGAAAGAUGCCAUUGCAUCACUCAAAGAUGAUCCCGCGUUGUAUUAGCUAGUUGGUGAGGUAAAGGCUCACCAAGGCGAUGAUACAUAGCUGGUCUGAGAGGAUGAUCAGCGACACGGGGAGUGAGACGCGGCCCAGACUCCUACGGGAGGCAGCAGUGGGGAAUAUUGGACAAAGGGCGCAAGCCUGAUCCAGCCAUGCCGCGUGUGUUACGAAGGCCUUCGGGUUGUAAAGCACGUUUGUUGGGAAAGAAAAGCAGCCGGUUAAUACCCGGUUGUCAUGACGGUACCCAAAGAAUAAGCACCGGCUAACUUCGUG
rnacentral:rRNA from 1 species